rnacentral:rRNA from 1 species
AGUGAACGCUGGCGGUAGGCCUAACACAUGCAAGUCGAACGGCAGCACAGUAAGAGCUUGCUCUUACGGGUGGCGAGUGGCGGACGGGUGAGGAAUACAUCGGAAUCUACUUUUUCGUGGGGGAUAACGUAGGGAAACUUACGCUAAUACCGCAUACGACCUACGGGUGAAAGCAGGGGAUCUUCGGACCUUGCGCGAUUGAAUGAGCCGAUGUCGGAUUAGCUAGUUGGCGGGGUAAAGGCCCACCAAGGCGACGAUCCGUAGCUGGUCUGAGAGGAUGAUCCGCCAAACUGGAACUGAGAAACGGUCCAGACUCCUACGGGAGGCAGCAGUGGGGAAUAUUGGACAAGGGGCGCAAGCCUGAUCCAGCCAUACCGCGGGGGUGAAGAAGGCCUUCGGGUUGUAAAGCCCUUUUGUUGGGAAAGAAAAGCAGCAGGUUAAUACCCCGCUGUUCUGACGGUACCCAAAGAAUAAGCACCGGCUAACUUCGU